rnacentral:rRNA from 1 species
AUUAAUACUCCAUAACAUCGUUUUACCGCAUGGUAUUUCGAUUAAAACUCCGGUGGUUAAAGAUGGGUAUGCGUGAGAUUAGAUUGUUGGUGAGGUAACGGCUCACCAAGACUACGAUGUCUAGGGGUUCUGAGAGGAUGAUCCCCCACACUGGUACUGAGACACGGACCAGACUCCUACGGGAGGCAGCAGUGAGGAAUAUUGGUCAAUGGACGCAACUCUGAACCAGCCAUGCCGCGUGCAGGAUGACGGCCCUAUGGGUUGUAAACUGCUUUUAUUAAGGAAUAACUCCCUGGCGUGAAGCGGGGCUGACGGUACCAAACGAAUAAGCACCGGCUAACUCCGUGCCAGCAGCCGCGGUAAUACGGAGGGUGCAAGCGUUAUCCGGAUUUAUUGGGUUUAAAGGGUCCGUAGGUGGACUAAUAAGUCAGUGGUGAAAUCCUACAGCUUAACUGUAGAACUGCCAUUGAUACUGUUAGUCUUGAGUGAAGUUGAAGUAGCUGGAAUGUGUAGUGUAGCGGUGAAAUGCAUAGAUAUUACACAGAACACCAAUUGCGAAGGCAGGUUACUAAACUUCUACUGACACUGAUGGGCGAAAGCGUGGGGAGCGAACAGGAUUAGAUACCCUGGUAGUCCACGCCGUAAACGAUGAUCACUCGCUGUCGGGGUUAUAUUGUAAGCGACUGAGCGAAAGCAUUAAGUGAUCCACCUGGGGAGUACGUCGGCAACGAUGAAACUCAAAGGAAUUGACGGGGGCCCGCACAAGCGGAGGAACAUGUGGUUUAAUUCGAUUAUACGCGAGGAACCUUACCUGGGUUUAAAUGUAAAACGACUUUCCGGGAAACCGGAAUUCCCUUCGGGGCGGAUUGCAAGGUGCUGCAUGGCUGUCGUCAGCUCGUGCCGUGAGGUGUCGGGUUAAGUCCCAUAACGAGCGCAACCCUUAUCUUUAGUUGCCAGCGAGUAAUGUCGGGGACUUUAAAAAAACUGCCAGUGUAAGCUGGAGGAAGGUGGGGAUGACGUCAAGUCAGCACGGCCCUUAUGUCCAGGGCCACACACGUGUUACAAUGGCCGGUACAAAGGGCAGCUACUACGCGAGUAGAUGCUAAUCUCUAAAGCCGGUCCCAGUUCGGAUUGGAGUCUGCAACUCGACUUCAUGAAGUUGGAAUCGCUAGUAAUCGCGCAUCAGCCAUGGCGCGGUGAAUACGUUCCCGGGCCUUGUACACACUGCCCGUCAAGCCAUGGAAGCUGGGAGUACCUAAAGUCCGUAACCGUAAGGAGCGGCCUA